UACGAAGGGGGCUAGCGUUGCUCGGAAUUACUGGGCGUAAAGCGCACGUAGGCGGCUUUUUAAGUCGGGGGUGAAAUCCUGGAGCUCAACUCCAGAACUGCCUUUGAUACUGAGGACCUUGAGUCCGGGAGAGGUGAGUGGAACUGCGAGUGUAGAGGUGAAAUUCGUAGAUAUUCGCAAGAACACCAGUGGCGAAGGCGGCUCACUGGCCCGAUACUGACGCUGAGGUGCGAAAGCGUGGGGAGCAAACAGG
rnacentral:rRNA from 1 species